AGUGAACGCUGGCGGUAGGCCUAACACAUGCCAGUCGAACGGCAGCACAGUAAGAGCUUGCUCUUACGGGUGGCGAGUGGUGGACGGGUGGGGAAUACAUCGGAAUCUACUUUUUCGUGGGGGAUAACGUAGGGAAACUUACGCUAAUACCGCAUACGACCUACGGGUGAAAGCAGGGGAUCUUCGGACCUUGCGCGAUUGAAUGAGCCGAUGUCGGAUUAGCUAGUUGGCGGGGUAAAGGCCCACCAAGGCGACGAUCCGUAGCUGGUCUGAGAGGAUGAUCAGCCACACUGGAACUGAGACACGGUCCAGACUCCUACGGGAGGCAGCAGUGGGGAAUAUUGGACAAUGGGCGCAAGCCUGAUCCAGCCAUACCGCGUGGGUGAAGAAGGCCUUCGGGUUGUAAAGCCCUUUUGUUGGGAAAGAAAAGCAGCAGGUUAAUACCCCGCUGUUCUGACGGUACCCAAAGAAUAAGCACCGGCUAACUUCGUG
rnacentral:rRNA from 1 species